rnacentral:rRNA from 1 species
GUAGGCGGUAAGCGUUGUCCGGAAUUAUUGGGCGUAAAGGGAGCGCAGGCGGGAAACUAAGCGGAUCUUAAAAGUGCGGGGCUCAACCCCGUGAUGGGGUCCGAACUGGUUUUCUUGAGUGCAGGAGAGGAAAGCGGAAUUCCCAGUGUAGCGGUGAAAUGCGUAGAUAUUGGGAAGAACACCAGUGGCGAAGGCGGCUUUCUGGACUGUAACUGACGCUGAGGCUCGAAAGCUAGGGUAGCGAACGGGAUUAGAUACCCCGGUAGUCCUAGCCGUAAACGAUGGAUACUAGGUGUGGGAGGUAUCGACCCCUUCCGUGCCGGAGUUAACGCAAUAAGUAUCCCGCCUGGGGAGUACGGCCGCAAGGUUG